ensembl:ncRNA asRNA:CR42860 antisense RNA:CR42860
GUCGGAUGUAGACAACAAUCGGCAGCAGAACAGAACACAUCACAAGGUAGACAGAUCUAGUUGGGGACAUACUUAUACCCCGUGCAUCGACACUACCUACCUGUAUUCCCUAAACUCCUGAGAUUCCGGGCGACAUGUGGAUGACGGGAAGCAAGCAGCGGCGGUGCAAUUUUAGCAGUAGCAGCAGAAGGAAUGUGGCAAGAAGGACAUUUGGCAGUUGUAAAAACAAGUUUCCAAUCGUUAUGCAUUUUGCUUGGAUUUAUUUAUAGACGCGGUAUUUGUUUUAAGUAUUAAAUACAUGAGAGAUACAAUUAAACAACAAAAGAGUGUACGCGAGUGUUGGUUCUUACCAAUUAUUCAAAUGGAAACAAAUCAAUUAAGUUUUAAAGUCAUCGUAAAGUGAUCGAACAUAAAAACAUAUCGGGUAAACAUAAACAUGACAGAUAAAAGACAGAUAAGACUUAAAACGAAGGUCGCAUGAGUUUUUAUGAUUAAUUUUUUAGUAAAGCUUCUCGCCACAAAGGAAAACGUGUAACAAAAAGUAUUAAAAUUGGCGGCAAAAGCGGCAUUUACUUUCGAGUUUCGUUUGGAUUUUGUACACGAAAUGUAUGAUUGAUUGCUGGCGAUCGAGUACGAAAGUGUGUGACAAACAAUAGAGUAAGGAAACGAAUUAGUAAUAAUAAAAAGCGGUAAUAAAAAAUGAAUAAUAAAAUCUCAUGCAACAUCACUACAAAAUAAAUAAAAUUCAAUUAAACGUAAAUUCAAUUAAAGUAAACAAUACAAUAAUCAUUUUAACAUCGUCUACUAUCGAAGUCAUCAUAAGAUGGACUGAAGGACUGGAGCGUACGACUGUCUGUUCGGAGUUUCUGGUAAAAGUCAUAUAUGCUGUAAUGUAUCUUAAAGCCUCCUGUCGAAGCCUUUCUAACAAUGAUUUCACUUUCAGGGGGACUACGGAACCUUAAUCAUUGCUUAAAAGCCGAAAUCUGCCUGGCAGCUAAAUAUAAAUAUAAAUCUCGGUGCAUCUAUGAAUCACAGAGGCUCGCGGCUUGAUGACUGAACAGCCGUAACUGAUUAAUCUAAUUAAAUUCUUUUCUGCACCAUAAACAGAAUCAUCAAUUCAUGUUCUUUUCUAAUGACCAAGAGGAUGAGUCGCCCGACUAACAUCGGUAUAUCUCUCAUCUCUGCCUGAUCCACCUUAUAGACAGCAGUAGCAACAACAAGAGGUAAUUUAUCAUGAUGUUUUCCUAUAGAACCUAGAACCAAGAUAUGUUCUAGGUACCUAUAAACCAUCCACGUAUGCCUAAGCAAAUAUAUUUAUUCUGUUUCGGUGCUUUUGUGUUUUAUUGAAAGAAAAUUGAAAUAAAUUUCAAGAUU